UACAGAGGGUGCGAGCGUUGUCCGGAAUCACUGGGCGUAAAGGGCGCGUAGGCGGCUUUUCAAGCGUGCGGUGAAAGCUCGGGGCUUAACUCCGAGUCUGCCGUGCGAACUGGGAGGCUUGAGUCUGGUAGAGGUCGAUGGAAUUCCGGGUGUAGCGGUGGAAUGCGUAGAGAUCAGGAAGAACACCCGUGGCGAAAGCGGCUCUCUGGAACGGUACUGACGCUGAGACGCGAAAGCGUGGGGAGCGAACAGG
rnacentral:rRNA from 1 species